AGAGUUUGAUCCUGGCUCAGGACGAACGCUGGCGGCGUGCUUAACACAUGCAAGUCGAACGGAAAGGCCUCUUCGGAGGUACUCGAGUGGCGAACGGGUGAGUAACACGUGGGCAAUCUGCCCUGCACUUCGGGAUAAGCCUGGGAAACUGGGUCUAAUACCGGAUAGGACCUCAAGACGCAUGUCUUCUGGUGGAAAGCUUUUGCGGUGUGGGAUGGGCCCGCGGACUAUCAGCUUGUUGGUGGGGUGACGGCCUACCAAGGCGACGACGGGUAGCCGGACUGAGAGGUGUACGGCCACACUGGGACUGAGAUACGGCCC
rnacentral:rRNA from 1 species